CCUACGGGUGGCAGCAGUGAGGAAUAUUGGUCAAUGGCCGGGAGGCUGAACCAGCCAAGUAGCGUGAAGGAAGACGGCCCUACGGGUUGUAAACCUCUUUUGUCAGGGAGUAAGGUGCAGGUCGGGACCUGCUGUGAGAGUACCUGAAGAAAAAGCAUCGGCUAACUCCGUGCCAGCAGCCGCGGUAAUACGGAGGAUGCGAGCUUUCUCCGGAUUUAUUGGGUUUAAGGGGUGCGCAGGCGGAUGCACCAGUCAGCGGUAAAAUCGGGGGGCUCAACCCAGCUCCGCCGUUGAAACUGUGUCCCUUGAGUGCGCGAAGGGUAGGCGGAAUGCGUGGUGUAGCGGUGAAAUGCAUAGAUAUCACGCAGAACUCCGAUUGCGAAGGCAGCCUACCGGCGCGCAACUGACGCUCAUGCACGAAAGCGUGGGUAUCGAACAGGAUUAGAUACCCGUGUAGUC
rnacentral:rRNA from 1 species